GCCCCUUUAGCCCAGUUGGUAGAGCGCGACACUAGUAAUGUCGAGGUCAAUGGUUCGAAUCCAUUAGGGGGCA
rnacentral:tRNA from 1 species